UCUCCAUAGUGUAAUAGUUAACUCAAAUUUGUAUGGAGUCGGGACGUCUGCCUACGUUUGCCGCUAGGGGCGCUGUUCCAACUCCAUACAAAUAUGAGUUAACUUUUACGUUAUCGA
rnacentral:pre_miRNA from 9 species